rnacentral:rRNA from 1 species
UACGUAGGAGACGAGCGUUGUCCGGAAUUACUGGGCGUAAAGCGUGCGCAGGCGGUUGUGCAAGACAGAUGUGAAAUCCCCGGGCUUAACCUGGGAAUUGCAUUUGUGACUGCACGGCUAGAGUGUGUCAGAGGGGGGUAGAAUUCCACGUGUAGCAGUGAAAUGCGUAGAUAUGUGGAGGAAUACCGAUGGCGAAGGCAGCCCCCUGGGAUAACACUGACGCUCAUGCACGAAAGCGUGGGGAGCAAACAGG